rnacentral:rRNA from 1 species
GCAAGUCGAACGAGAACCUUCGGGUCUAGUGGCGGACGGGUGAGUAACACGUGAGAAUUUACCUUUAGGAGGGGGAUAACAAUUGGAAACGAUUGCUAAUACCCCAUAUGCUUUUUUAAGUGAAACGGAUUUAUUCGCCUAAAGAAAAGCUCGCGGCUGAUUAGCUAGUUGGUAAGGUAAUGGCUUACCAAGGCGACGAUCAGUAUCUGGUUUGAGAGGAUGAUCAGACACACUGGAACUGAGACACGGUCCAGACUCCUACGGGAGGCAGCAGUGGGGAAUUUUCCGCAAUGGGCGAAAGCCUGACGGAGCAAUACCGCGUGAGGGAAGAAAGCCUACUGGGUUGUAAACCUCUUUUUUCAGGGAGGAAAAAAAUGACGUGUACCUGAAGAAUAAGCAUCGGCUAACUCCGUG